GUUAAGUAUUUUAUGUUUAUUGCAGAAACAACACUUGUACACAUGGCAAAAGAAAACUACAAGAUUUCCUAUCCUUACAAAUUUACAUACAAGCUAUAGCUGCUACAUAUUAGCAGAUUAUACGUGACCAGUCUCUACCAGUAUAUUUCCUUCACAAUAGAGGACCUCCUUGAAAAGCACCUUUCGGUGAAGGAACUUUCCUCUUAAUUAAAAAGGGGGGGAAAGACGCUGUUGCAACUUGCAAUCACUGAUCUCAAACGGAUGGGUGGAUAGAGCAACUGUUAUGCAUAAAUGAAGCCAGUGUGGCGACCAUAUUGAUGUAACUACCAAAUAUCUACAAUGGCGUUGCCAGUGAACGUGGCGUUGCUGUUUUUGAAUAGCUGGAGGGUGAGUAGUCGCAUAGUAAGGUACGACACUAAAGGUCCAUACAGACCGGACGCGAUUUGGCAACGCGACGCGAAUUUUCAAUUUUCAAUGACAUUUAAUAUUUUUCUAUGUUUCUCAAAUAUUCGGAACCACUUGAGCAAUUUUAGCUAUUUGGUCUGCAUAUCUUGUAAAAUUUUAGUAUCCGUUGACGGUUUUAUUUGUUUUUAAAAACUGAAAAUUCGCGUCGCGUUCGGUCUGUGUGGACCUUAACCCUCCAGCUAUUCAAAAACAGCAAUGACACUCGAGAGAAGCUCAGAUUGAACCUCCACUCAUUGAGUGUGAGUGUGCUUUUAGAAUACGGGCGUAAAUCUCAUUAGAAGUGGUGUGAGGAGCUAUAUCUUUCAAGUUACGUAAAAGAAGAUAUUUGCUUGUAACUAAUUUAAACACGUAAAGCCUGUUUUCCACUCACGUAUUUCGCCGCCGCUGGCGAAAAAUUUCGCCACCGAAAAAGUUCAUUUGAUGUUCUUUCGCGCGGUCAACGAAAGGUCAAACAGAAGUUGAAAAUUUUAAGCAACUGUAGCAGGAGAACAAAUUUCUUCAGCGGCGAAUGAAUGUAAAAAAAUGAUUUCUUCGCCAAAAUUUUUCGCCAGCGGCGGCGAAAUAACGGAGUGGAAAACGGGCGUAAGGAUUUGAUUCGUAUAGGGAAUGUGACAGAUUUAUUAAUCUCUCCUCAUUUUAGGGAGACGGAGUGUUCAUUAUUUAUACCCGGGGUUGGGACCGAAGAGAAAUGGGUUGGGUAAGCCAUUUUUCUGGGGUAUGAAGGGUUGGGUAAAUAUUUUUUGAACAAAGCCUAUGGUUGGGUAAAUUAUUUUCAAUACAAACCUUCAAUUGAACAAAAUAUAAAAACCCUUUAUUUAACGAAGUGGGUCAUUCCAGGAAAUAUCCAUUCAUUCCACACAAAGAAAACUAAACUCCAACUCCCCAUCCCCUCUGAUUACAACGAGAUAUGGUAGGACUGCAGGAACUUGGAACAUAAUAUGAACUUGUGAAGGUACAAAUGAUUAUUUUGACAUCCAGUUAGUGCAUCAAAUAUGCACAGUACUGUUUAUACUAUAGUGGCCUAGCUUGUAUAAUAAUAUAUAUGUAUAUAUGUAAAAUACUUGUAUAAUUUUGAAAUUGGGUUGGGUAAAAUAAAAAUCCAAGUCAUGCAAUAGUUCGGUAGGGAAAAAAAUGGUUGAUCGAAAGGGUGGGUGGUUGUUUUUUUCUCUUUUCGAUUAGUUUCUCUUCGGUACCAACCCCGGGUAUAAAUAAUGAACACUCCCUUAUAUAUUAUUCUGGCUUCAAAAUUAAUUCCCUGAAUUCAGAAGGUUAGUGUGCUAUGCAGUUCCAGAUUUGAGAUCAGAAAUUUCAUAGAAAAAUUACAUAAUUCUCUUGAAGGAUGAAAAAUGAAGAAAUAUGAUAAGGGUGAAAAUUAGCCUUUCUCACGCCGCCAUUUUUGGGUGGCAUUUCAGCUGAAGUCUGUGCGAUAAGUCCACAUAACAGCGACUUUUUGUAAUUUUUUGGACGAAUGAUGGUAAAUGUUCUUUGUAAAUGGUUAGUUUAUCGCUUUUCACAUUGUUUUAAUUGUCUGCAUUGGAUAAUGAAAAUUUGAUGCCACCCAAAAAUGGCGGAUAUUCGUCAUCGUGAGAAAGGCUAAUUAUAUGCAACUAGUGAUUCAUCUGGUGAGUGCGAUUUCAGAUUUGUAUUAUCACAAGUUUGAUUUCAGUCCAAAAUUGCACGACACGAAGUUCAAUUACCAUUCAGGGUUGCCAGUUUGGCGUUAAAAAAGCCAAAUUUCUCGAUUUUGGCUUCUUUUGACUUCGUUUGGCUACUAAAAAUUUCGUUUGGCUUCUUUCUAUUUUUUGGCUCUUUUUGGCUUCUUUUUGAAUAAAUCUGAAAUAAGCAACUUUUCAAAAAUAAUCUGCCAUCCUUCAGUAAAAGUUAGUUAAACUCUGCUAUGUUCGAUUACAUUAUCCAUUUAUCCGGGAUUCCGGAUGUACGUAAAUAUUCGAUCGGAAUUAGUACCCUCUCCCUGGGUUAUGCGGUUCGCCCCGAACGGCGGGAAAACGAAAAUGAUAAAAUACUCUUUUUUUUCGGUGUUGAACGCUUGAAUUCGGAAGAUUUACUCUAAAUUUCGAUUUUGGCUUCUUUUGGCCGGAUUUGGCUACUUUUUACGUUGCAUUUGGCUCUUUCGGGCUCAGACCACCUGGCAACCCUGUUACCAUUAUUUAUUAUAUUCAUUUUGAAAUCUUAAAUAUUUUUGUGAACCGGAAACGUUUUUGUUUGCAAAAGACACACCUCCGGUACCUCCCCGAGUGCUGUAGCAU